rnacentral:lncRNA from 1 species
GAGGUGUGAGAGGCACGCUAAGAGAUCUCUUUAAAACUUUUAAAACUCAUUCAAAUUUCAAUAGUAACAGUCACUAGUACAUCAUCCACCGGCAGCAGACCGGCCGCCUCCACUGAAAUCUAAAUUGCACUUCCUGAAUUCCUAGUGUCUUCCAACCAUCUGCGUCAAAACAUCUAGCCGUGAUCAAAUACAUAUCUACAGGAGAAGUCCAAGAUAAUAUCCCUAGAAUACCUCAAAAUGUAUCACACGCUGGCCUCUAGGUUUUCGUAGAAACAGCCCAAAAUGUAGUGAAUGAUACAAAUGUUUUCUUUUGUGGGUGUGUGCCCCUGUAUUUCUGUGAGACUGGGAUAUGAUAGAUUUGUCUAGCUCAAAUGUAAUGAGAAGGAGGCAAACAAUUUAUUCAUGGACAGGUUGGCGUUAAGAAGAAGAAGAAAAGGAACCUAUCUUCCAGUUGGAACAAUUCAAAUCAAGUAGUAUAGCUUUCAUCGCCAAGAAUGGCAUAUCUUUUUGAGGGAAAGAAGACUAAUGAUGGCAAUACAAAAAAGCAAUUUUGUUGAUGUGGAGGCAGCAUGAGGUAGAACUUGUGUCAUAAAUUCUUCUUUCAAAGAGAGGAACUUCCAUGAAAGA